rnacentral:tRNA from 1 species
GACUCGCUAGCUCAGUAGGUAGAGCACCUGACUUUUAAUCAGGGGGUCGUGGGUUCGAAUCCCACGCGAGUCA